GGGCUGUUAGUGUAGUGGUAACACGUGGACGUGAAAUCUCUAAAUCCCGGGUUCGAUUCUCGGACAGUCCA
rnacentral:tRNA from 1 species